UACAGAGGUCUCAAGCGUUGUUCGGAUUCAUUGGGCGUAAAGGGUGCGUAGGCGGCGCGGUAAGUCGGGUGUGAAAUCUCGGAGCUUAACUCCGAAACUGCAUUCGAUACUGCCGUGCUUGAGGACUGGAGAGGAGACUGGAAUUUACGGUGUAGCGGUGAAAUGCGUAGAGAUGCGGAGGAACACCGAUGGCGAAGGCAGCCCCCCUGGGCUGACACUGACGCCUCAGGCACGAAAGCGUGGGGAGCAAACAGG
rnacentral:rRNA from 1 species